rnacentral:rRNA from 1 species
UGGGGAAUUUUGCACAAUGGGGGAAACCCUGAUGCAGCGACGCCGCGUGAUUUAGAAGGCCUUCGGGUUGUAAAAAUCUUUUCUAUGGGAAGAAAAUGACAGUACCAUAGGAAUAAGGACCGGCUAAUUACGUGCCAGCAGCCGCGGUAAUACGUAAGGUCCGAGCGUUGUCCGGAAUCAUUGGGCGUAAAGGGUACGUAGGCGGGUAAGCAAGUUAGAAGUGAAAUCCUAUAGCUCAACUAUAGUAAGCUUUUAAAACUGCUCAUCUUGAGGUAUGGAAGGGAAAGUGGAAUUCCUAGUGUAGCGGUGAAAUGCGCAGAUAUUAGGAGGAAUACCGGUGGCGAAGGCGACUUUCUGGCCAUAACCUGACGCUGAGGUACGAAAGCGUGAGUAGCAAACAGG